CCUACGGGUGGCAGCAGUGGGGGAUAUUGCACAAUGGGGGAAACCCUGAUGCAGCGAAGCCGCGUGAGUGAAGAAGUAUUUAUGUAUGUAAAGCUCUAUCAGCAGGGAAGAAAAUGACAGUACCUGAGCAAGAAGCCACGGCUAACUACGUUCCAGCAGCCGCGGUAAUACGUAGGGAGCAAGCGUUAUCCGGAUUUACUGGGUGUAAAGGGGGCGUAGACGGUUAUGUAAGUCUGGAGUGAAAGCCCUGGGCCCAACCCCGGGACUGCUAUGGAAACUGUGUAACUUGAGUACAGGAGGGGCAGGCGGAAUUCGUGGUGUAGCGGUGAAAUGCGUAGAUAUCAGGAAGAACCCCGGUGGCGAAGGCAGCCUGCUGGACUGAAACUGACGUUGAGGCUCGAAAGCGUGGGGAGCAAACAGGAUUAGAUACCCGUGUAGUC
rnacentral:rRNA from 1 species